ACCAAAAAACGCUUAAGCCCAACCAUUUCAAUCACCAUAACUAAUCUCUAUCCUCCCCCAUGGAUGAAUGCAUGCAACAAAAUCUGCUCAAUCCAACGCCACAAUCAGUACAUGUCGACUUGAAGUUGAAGGCAAAAAUCUAUCAAGAAUCCAAGAAAAUAUGGCGAGUAGCAUUGCCUAGCAUCAUCUCAAGAGUUACUUCAUUUGCCACUAUAGUUGUCACUCAAUCUUUCAUUGGACACAUCAACUCUACCCAUCUUGCCGCCUAUGCUCUUGUCCAAACCCUCAUCGUCCGAUUCGUCAAUGGAAUAGUGAUUGGGAUGUCGAGCGCAACUGAAACCUUGUGCGGGCAAGCCUAUGGGGCGAAGCAGCAUCACAUGAUGGGGAUCUUCCUGCAACGUUCGUGGCUGGUGGAUUUGGUCAGCCUAACCUUACUCCUCCCCCUCUUCGUCUUCGCGACGCCUAUAUUCCUGGCGUUGGGGGAGGAUGAGGCCAUUGCUGCUUCGGCGGGGUACAUCUCCCUGUGGUUCAUCCCGUUCGUGUACAGCAUCGUCUUCGCCCUCACCAUCCAGAUGUACCUGCAGGCGCAGCAGAAGAACAUGGUGGUGGCAUGGCUCUCCGCAGCCCAGCUGGCCAUCCACGUCCCCUUGUCUUGGCUCUUGGUGACCGUCAUGGACUUGGGGGUGGCCGGGGCAAUGUGCGCACUCUGUGUGUCGUCGUGGCUGGUCGUUGCGGGGGAGUUUGUUUACAUAUUUGGAGGGUGGUGUCACCAUUCUUGGACAGGAUUCACCAUGGCUGCUUUUCAUGACAUUAUUCCUGUCGUCAAGCUCUCUAUUUCCUCUGGCGUCAUGCUCUGUUUGGAGCUAUGGUACUAUGCCAUUUUGGUGUUGCUAGCCGGCUACAUGAAAAAUGCUCAAGUUUCAAUCUCUGCCUUCUCUAUAUGCCUGAAUGUGAGCGGGUUGGAGUUCAUGAUCAGCAUGGGCAUGAUGGGUGCUGCAAUUGUGAGGGUGGCGAACGAGCUGGGCGCAGGCGACGCAGCGGCCACGAGGUUCUCGAUUAAGGUGGUGAUGGCCACAUCGGUGGUGAUAGGGGCGGUUUUCUGGAUCCUCUGUUUAAUUUUUGGCAGCAAACUGGGCUACUUGUUUACCCGGGACGAGGAUGUUGUUGUGGCGGUCGCCGGCCUCUCUCUUUUGCUUGCCUUCACGCUCUUGCUCAAUGCCAUAUAUCCCGUCCUCUCAGUUUGUUCGGUGCAGGUGUUGCUAUUGGAGCAGGGCUGCAGAGCAAAGUUGCGAUUAUUAGCUUCGUUUGUUUUUAUGCCAUUGGAUUGCCUAUUGGAGCUGUGCUUGGAUAUGUGGUUCAUCUCCAAGCAAAGGGGAUAUGGAUUGGGAUGAUGAGCGGAGUUGUGACUCAAACUCUUGCACUAUGUUACAUGACUUGGAAAACAGAGUGGGAUGAACAGGUUUUGAUAGCUUCAGCUCGUCUCAAGAGAUGGCACCUCAAAUCUGGAGAAGAAAAUCAACACCACAAUUCUGAUAAUCAUUCUUAGCCAUCCAACCCACAAAUCACUCUUUAUUCUUCUCAAUGCUUGUAUUUGAAUUUUUCUUUAAAUAAGAUGGCCGUUUAAUGAUUCACACAAUGAAUGUUGAGUGAGAUGGUAGAAGAUA